ACGGGAGGCAGCAGUGGGGGAUAUUGCACAAUGGGGGAAGCCCUGAUGCAGCGACGCCGCGUGAGUGAAGAAGUAUUUCGGUAUGUAAAGCUCUAUCAGCAGGAAAGAUAAUGACGGUACCUGACUAAGAAGCACCGGCUAAAUACGUGCCAGCAGCCGCGGUAAUACGUAUGGUGCAAGCGUUAUCCGGAUUUACUGGAUGUAAAGGGAGCGCAGACGGCAUGGCAAGCCAGAUGUGAAAGGCAGGGGCUCAACUCCUGGACUGCAUUUGGAACUGUCAAGCUAGAGUAUCGGAGAGGUAAGUGGAAUUCCUAGUGUAGCGGUGAAAUGCGUAGAUAUUAGGAGGAACACCAGUGGCGAAGGCGGCUUACUGGACGAUAACUGACGUUGAGGCUCGAAAGCGUGGGGAGCAAACAGGAUUAGAUACCCUGGUA
rnacentral:rRNA from 1 species